rnacentral:tRNA from 1 species
GGAGGAUUACCCAAGUCCGGCUGAAGGGAACGGUCUUGAAACCGUCAGGCGUGUAAAGCGUGCGUGGGUUCGAAUCCCAUCCUCCU